GACGAACGCUGGCGGCGUGCCUAAUACAUGCAAGUAGAACGCACAGUUUAUACCGUAGCUUGCUACACCAUAGACUGUGAGUUGCGAACGGGUGAGUAACGCGUAGGUAACCUGCCUGGUAGCGGGGGAUAACUAUUGGAAACGAUAGCUAAUACCGCAUAAUAUUAAUUAUUGCAUGAUAAUUAAUUGAAAGGUGCAAUUGCACCACUACCAGAUGGACCUGCGUUGUAUUAGCUAGUAGGUGAGGUAACGGCUCACCUAGGCGACGAUACAUAGCCGACCUGAGAGGGUGUUCGGCCACACUGGGACUGAGACACGGCCCAGACUCCUACGGGAGGCAGCAGUAGGGAAUCUUCGGCAAUGGACGAAAGUCUGACCGAGCAACGCCGCGUGAGUGAAGAAGGUUUUCGGAUCGUAAAGCUCUGUUGUAAGAGAAGAACGGGUGUGAGAGUAGAAAGUUCACACUGUGACGGUAUCUUACCAGAAAGGGACGGCUAACUACGUG
rnacentral:rRNA from 1 species